rnacentral:lncRNA from 1 species
UAAUUGUAAUAUUUGAUGUCAUUAUAACAACUUCAAUAUAAAAUUUAAGGUAAUAUUUAAUAACAUUAUAAUAAUUGCAAUGUUAAGAUACAUGUAAAUAAGAUGACUUUAUAAUAAUUGCUAUUGUAAGGACUCAAGCACCACAGAUGAGUCUUAUGUAGACGAGAAAGACGCCUGUCGUUCACAAUUUCGAUAUGAAGAUAGUACGAAUUUUUCAUAAGUGGGAGCCCACUGACUUCGUAAGAAGGGUCCCGCUCCAUUCAAGGUUCAGUGAUUCCCUUCCAAAAAUCCGCCUCUGAAUGUAUCUGUUAUGAUGUUUUUUGAUAAAUUUACUGUUACGAAAAAUGUUACAUUUUAUGGUCCAGAA